rnacentral:miRNA from 1 species
UGGAUUGGCCAAAAAGUUCGUUCGGAUUUUUCCAUGAAAAAUGCGAACAAACAUUUUGAUCAACCCA